rnacentral:lncRNA from 1 species
AGACCCGACCCGUUUUUUUUUUUUAAUUAAUAGUCUCAUACCUACUAGUUAACCUAACCUAAUUAACCCAACAAUAAAUCAUCAUGCAUAGCGGAAACAUAAUAAACCAACAUCAUUUCAUCAUAAUAUUAAUUAACCAAUCAUUCAAUAACCACAAUUUACACCAGCAACCUAUCAUGCCUCUAAACCAGGUUCCAACAACAAUUAACAUAUUCAUAAAUAUAACAACCAAGACCCUCGAUCAUCCUCCUCUCCUCGCCAUGAUUCCACAGAUCACACCCUACCUGCACCACAAACACAAUGAGAUGCGUGAGUAUUAUCACAAAUACUCAGUGAAGCGAUCCUCCCAUCCACUGGGCUAUACACACAAGCAUAUUAAACCAAUCUAACAUGCAUCAUAUUAACCAGAACAAACAAACCAGGCAUAAAAAGACACGAAAUACACGCUGUCCAGAAAAACUGUCUAGAAAUUUGGUGUCGAGCGACACCAGACUGGUGUCGAGCGACACCGAUCUCGCAGAAACCCUAAAAUCGCCUCUCAACUACCCAGAGAACGAAUCCAACACCUCAAAAGCUCCAGCCAUGAGCCCUAACACUCAAACAUACAAUAACAGCAACCAAAACACACAAACAUGGCCACACAAAACAAAUCCAGCCAUCCAAAUCAAUCAAACACACAUAAGAAAGGUUAAACAUGCUUAGAUCAGCCAUAGUCACGCACUCACCUUGAUAUGGAUUGAAAGAAGGACAAAACAAAGAGGAACAUAAAGAACAAGCCCCUCCUUGGACCACCAGCCACGAAUCCAACCCUCUCCUUGCUAGAACUAACCAAAACUAGCCACAGAAACCUCCAGAAACCCUCACAAGCCUCUCCUUAAGCUUUAGGAACAACCAACCCUCAACCCUCUCUCUCUCUUUUGUUUUUAAGAAGCGACAAAAGCCAAAAGUGAGAAAGAAAGGCUGCUUCUACGAGUUAAAGUCGUGCCUAGGGUUUCUCCAAUCAAUUCCAAUUAAACCAACAGUUUAAAUGCUAAACCGUCUAACCUAAUUUUGUUGGUGUCGAUCGACACCCAACACUGGUGUCGGUCGACACCACCAAAAUUUCAGACACGGGCGUUACAAUUCUCCCCCACUAACUAGGAUUCGUCCUCGAAUCCUUCAACACCGUCCGUCAGCACACAACUGACUUCUCCGAGGCCCCUAUCUAAUCAAUAUACUCACAUUCCAGACCUUAUUUGCUCAUACACAACCACCUCCCCCGUCUACAGGUCGCAACCGAUGAAUCAUACCGGCUCGUCCUCUGACCUUAGCCUUAGACUACGGUAUCCAGGAAGUCUCACCACUCCCCCCGCUCUCAGGUCGCAACCUUCGAGUCAUACCGGCUCACUAUUAGGCCCCCAGCCUUCAAGCUACGGUAUCCGGGAAGUCUCACCACUCCCCCCGCUCUCAGCUCGCAACCUUCGAGUCAUACCGGCUUACUAUUAGGCCACCAGCCUUCAAGCUACGGUAUCCGGGAAGUCUCACCACUCCCCCCGCUCUCAGGUCGCAACCUUCGAGUCAUACCGGCUCACUAUUAGGCCACCAGCCUUCAAGCUACGGUAUCCGGGAAGUCUCACCACUCGCUCUCGGGUCGUCACCCUUAAGCGUGCUCUCGAAUCGUCAUCCGAGACUAUCACAUCUCAUCCGAGACUAUCACAUCACACCCGAGCAAAUAAGUCUAAACGCCCCGAGCAUAUCUCCAGAUUAGAUAUACCUCCCGUGGUUCCCCUAUAGCAUCACAAUGCUAUACUAACCACAAUCCCAAAACUUUCUAAAAAUAGAACUGUCAAACCCGACACUUUCUAUUUUUAGAAACUGACACAUAUUCUCUUCACAUGACACCAACAAGUCAAAUCCAAGAAAUACUCACAUAGUUCAAGUACAACAUCACAACUUACCGUGGAAUCUCAUUAAAGGCUCGAGAGGAUGAUCUAGGUCUCCAUGCUCACACAAUUGAUUAAACACACAAAUCAAUCAGCAUGCAAUCCACAUCAUCAUUUUUCAUCAACGAAAUUCACAUAUCACAUUAAAAAUCACCAAUUUACUCCCGCCCUAGAACCGUAAGGGCUCUGAUACCAAAUUGAAAAGACCCGACCCGUUUUUUUUUUUUAAUUAAUAGUCUCAUACCUACUAGUUAACCUAACCUAAUUAACCCAACAAUAAAUCAUCAUGCAUAGCGGAAACAUAAUAAACCAACAUCAAUUCAUCAUAAUAUUAAUUAACCAAUCAUUCAAUAACCACAAUUUACACCAGCAACCUAGCAUGCCUCUAAACCAGGUUCCAACAACAAUUAACAUAUUCAUAAAUAUAACAACCAAGACCCUAGAUCAUCCUCCUCUCCUCGCC